CAGUGGGGAACACGGAGGAGGGGGGGCUGCUCUUGCAAAGUCCUGAGUAUUCCUGUCGCAUGAGGAUCUGACUGAUGAGGCUGAAGCUGGACCACAGGGAAAGCAUAUACCAGCACCUGUCCCAGACGUCUGCUGACAACACCAACAAGAACAUCAGCCAGUACAGCAUCGACCCUACCACGCGUUACCCCAACAUCAAUCUCCACUCCAUAAAGCCCAACCAGACGUUCAAGAAUAAAAUAACCUGCAGCCAUAAGUGUAUCAUCUAAGGAAGGGACGUUCCCAGCCAGCCAGGUGAGAGGCCCCUGCAGACUAGCUACACCCCCCAACUCCUGUUUCUACACUAGACUCCUAUGGCCAGCUGCUGCAGUGCUUAUGAAGUGUUUGCACGGGAUCAGAUGGAAGGUGCAACCUAAAUAACAAUUUCUACUUAUUACCGUUUGAGACUGUUCUCCUCCUUUCAUUCAGGCUGGAACAAUGAACUUAUCAUCAACCACAGCAGUUGUUUUUCUAGCUCCUAACACCACAACCAACUUCACC